rnacentral:rRNA from 1 species
UACGUAGGGCGCAAGCGUUGUCCGGAAUUAUUGGGCGUAAAGAGCUCGUAGGCGGCUUGUUGCGUCGGAUGUGAAAGCCCGGGGCUUAACCCCGGGUCUGCAUUCGAUACGGGCAGGCUAGAGUGUGGUAGGGGAGAUCGGAAUUCCUGGUGUAGCGGUGAAAUGCGCAGAUAUCAGGAAGAACACCCGUGGCGAAGGCGGCUCUCUGGGACGGUACUGACGCUGAGACGCGAAAGCGUGGGGAGCGAACAGG